UAAAACAACGAGAAGUAGGGAAGGCGGUAUAUAAGUGCAGCCAGGCAUCGGUCAAAAUCAUAUCGUGAGAAAAUCAAUCUGAAAUCUGGUAUUCAGAAGAGAUAUUGAGCGAUAACAAGGAGUUGACCGAAUCGUGGUAACUACAGCCUACAGGUAAAGUUUACUCGCUACAAUGUACACCAGCUCGAUUUCUGUGAUUUGCGCGGUUCUGUUGGUCGCCCAGUUGGCCACUGUCGCCUUGGCAGAAAACGAAGCCGCGGCCGAGGAGUUCAACCUGUUGCGUGCCAAACGUGGUAGCAUCGACUUCUGGUGCACUAUCGGAUGUGGAGCCUACUGGACCUGCGUGUUUGGCAACAAAGGCAACGCCAGCAAAUGCGGCUCGCAGCCAUCGAGAUGCCAGUGUAACGGUUUCGCUUGGCAGGGCGGGAAAUAAAUGCCGAGACAGCGCAGAAAGAGCUACCAGUUUUUACCUAUGUAAAAGUUAGAAACUGACGCUUCGUAUGUACAGUGUACAUUAUUUUAAAUUGUUGCAGUUAUUUGCAGCUAUGUUUGCAUCGGAUUAACAUUAACGUUGCCUAAUCGACGUACGUAAUUGUUAUUUGCUCUUGUCGAUUUCACAGUAAAAAAAUUACUUUGUGUUGUUUUUGGCUGGCUGGACCUCGGCUCAUGAAAAAAUAGUUUAUUCAGAUCACAA